CGGCGGACGGGUGAGUAACGCGUACGAAUCUACCUAGUAGUGGGGGAUAACAUGGUGAAAACCAUGCUAAUACCGCAUACGUCCUACGGGAGAAAGAGGGGGACCUUCGGGCCUCUUGCUAUUAGAUGAGCGUGCGUAAGAUUAGCUAGUUGGUGGGGUAAAGGCCUACCAAGGCGACGAUCUUUAGCUGGUCUGAGAGGAUGAUCAGCCACACUGGAACUGAGACACGGUCCAG
rnacentral:rRNA from 1 species